AAGAGACGUAAAUGUUUUAAACUUUCAUUAAAACAAUAUGUAAAAACCCAUCAAUGUAACAGAAAUCUCGAUUGAGCUCGUCUAAAACGCUCUGAAGAAAAAUUGUAAUACCAUGAAUAACUGGUUUAACUAUUAAGAAUUUAUCACAUGAUGGAAACAAGUCGGGAAGGCGUUUAUUGAGAAACUCACCAAGAGAACUACCAAGAGGUGCAGAAGUUUGUAUAAUAG